CGAGUGAAGCGGCAACAGCUCAAAUUUGAAAUCUGGCUCCUUCAGAGUCCGAGUUGUAAUUUGUAGAAGAUGCUUUGGGUAAGGUAGCAAUCUAAGUUCCUUGGAACAGGAUGUCGUAGAGGGUGAGAAUCCCGUAUGCGAUUGCCUGCCUUUGCCUGUGUAAAGCUCUUUCGACGAGUCGAGUUGUUUGGGAAUGCAGCUCAAAAUAGGUGGUAUAUUUCAUCUAAAGCUAAAUAUUGGCCAGAGACCGAUAGCGCACAAGUAGAGUGAUCGAAAGAUGAAAAGCACUUUGGAAAGAGAGUUAAACAGUACGUGAAAUUGUUAAAAGGGAAGCGCUUGCAACCAGACUCUUACGUGGUUGAUCAUCAGGGGUUCUCCCCUGUGCACUCGAUCGCGUAUGGGCUAGCAUCAGUUUUGGUGGUUGGAUAAAGGCUUGGGGAAUGUAGCUCCUCUCGGGGAGUGUUAUAGCCCCAGGUGCCAUGCAACCUACCGAGACUGAGGACCGCGCUUCGGCUAGGAUGCUGGCAUAAUGGUUGUAAGCGACCCGUCUUGAAACACGGACCAAGGAGUCUAAUAUCUAUGCGAGUAUUUGGGUGCUAAACCCAUAUGCGCAAUGAAAGUAAACGGAGGUGAGAACCCUUUAGGGCGCAUCAUCGACCGAUCCUGAUGUCUUCGGAUGGAUUUGAGUAAGAGCAUAGCUAUUGGGACCCGAAAGAGAGUGAACUUUACGUGAAUAGGGUGAAGUCAGAGGAAACUCUGAUGGAGGCUCGCAGCGGUUCUGACGUGCAAAUCGAUCGU
rnacentral:rRNA from 1 species